rnacentral:lncRNA from 1 species
UGCCCUGGAAUUUGGAACAGUUCUACCAAGCACAUUCCCAUCUCAGGCAUUUGUAUUUGAUGUUCUCUCUGCUGAGCAUGUUCUUCCUGCAGAAAUAUAGUCUCAUUCAUUUAGGUCUCUGUUUAAGGGUUCGCUUACCUGAGAGGUCUUCCCUGCACUAGCACCCACCUCACCUCUCUCACCCCUGUCACUUCCACUCCCCUGCCCAACUCUUUUUCUUUAUUCUUCCUCUUACUGUUGAACAUAUAUUUAUAUGUGCUCAAUAUACUUCUUUGUGUGUGUUUCCAUUGCUCCCCAUUAAAAAUAAAUUUAUGAGCACAGGGACUUUAUUUACUACUCUAUCCUCAGCCUCUAGAAUACUGCUUGGCUUAUGGUAAAUCCUCAGUAAAUGCCUAUGGAAUGAAUGAAUGAAUGAGUCCUGAACAAUAACUGUAUAAUCGCAGGUUUGAUGUGCUAGCUAUAUUAUUUGCUAACUCACAUCAAAAUAAAUACAUGUAACUAUUAAAAUUUAAAACAUGUUUACGCACUUUCUAAAAUCAUCUUGCGCAUCACCCAUUUGAAUAUAUACCACACUUUAGGGUAUACUGAGUUAAAGAAAGAUAAACAGUUUCUUUUCUUUUUUUUUCUUUUUUCGUCUUUUUAGGGCUGUACCAGUGGCAUAUGGAAGUUCCCAGGCUAGGGGUUGAAUUGGAGCUACAGCUGAUGGCCACAGCAACUUGGGACCCUAGCUUGUCUUCAACCUUCACCACAGCUCAUGGCAAUGCCAGAUCCUUAACCCACUGAGCAAGGCCAUGGAUUGAACCUGAGUCUUCAUGGAUACUAGUCGGGUUUGUUAACCACUGAGCCAGUAUGGGAACUCCAGAUAAACAGUUUCUUUACUGCAGGGCUUGAAAGAAUCUUCAAGGAGUUCCCGUUGUGGUGCAGUGGUUAACAAAUCCGACUAGGAACCAUGAGGUUGCGGGUUCGAUCCCUGCCCUUGCUCAGUGGGUUAAUGAUCCGGCGUUGCCAUGAGCUGUGGUGUAGGUCGCAGACACAGCUUGGAUCCUGCGUUGCUGUGGCUGUGGCUGUGGCAUAGGCUGGCAGCUGUAGCUCCAAUUUGACCCCUAGCCUGGGAA